rnacentral:lncRNA from 1 species
UUGAGUUUUGUUUUCUUUCUUGCAGGUUUAUCUUGAAGUUAAAGCUGCAUGAGAGUUUUUUAAAUCUUCCCGAAGAGACAAGGUCGCAGGUUUCCUAGUUUGUGUAGGAACCCACAUGGGAAGCUCUAUGUUUUCUUUUCCUCCUUAGUUAUGUGUUUUAAAGACUGAAAUCUUGCAUGGCCUAGCCUUAUUUUCCUUUCUUGGACUUUUUUUAGUGGUUAUUGGGAUGAAUAUCUCUACCUCAAGCGCUCAAAGCUUUGGAUCUUGCCUUUAAAUUA